rnacentral:rRNA from 1 species
CCUGGGGAGUACGNCCGCAAGGUUAAAACUCAAAUGAAUUGACGGGGGCCCGCACAAGCGGUGGAGCAUGUGGUUUAAUACGAUGCAACGCGAAGAACCUUACCUACUCUUGACAUCCACGGAAUUCGGCAGAGAUGCCUUAGUGCCUUCGGGAACCGUGAGACAGGUGCUGCAUGGCUGUCGUCAGCUCGUGUUGUGAAAUGUUGGGUUAAGUCCCGCAACGAGCGCAACCCUUAUCCUUUGUUGCCAGCGAUUCGGUCGGGAACUCAAAGGAGACUGCCGGUGAUAAACCGGAGGAAGGUGGGGAUGACGUCAAGUCAUCAUGGCCCUUACGAGUAGGGCUACACACGUGCUACAAUGGCGCAUAUAAAGAGAAGCGACCUCGCGAGAGCAAGCGGACCUCAUAAAGUGCGUCGUAGUCCGGAUCGGAGUCUGCAACUCGACUCCGUGAAGUCGGAAUCGCUAGUAAUCGUGGAUCAGAAUGCCACGGUGAAUACGUUCCCGGGCCUUGUACACACCGCCCGNNACACCAUGGGAGUGGGUUGCAAAAGAAGUAGGUAGCUUAACCUUCGGGAGG